rnacentral:rRNA from 1 species
UACGGAGGGUGCGAGCGUUGUCCGGAAUCACUGGGCGUAAAGAGCUCGUAGGCGGUUUGUCGCGUCUGCUGUGAAAACUCGGGGCUUAACUCCGGGCCUGCAGUGGGUACGGGCAGACUAGAGUGCGGUAGGGGAGACUGGAAUUCCUGGUGUAGCGGUGAAAUGCGCAGAUAUCAGGAGGAACACCGGUGGCGAAGGCGGGUCUCUGGGCCGUAACUGACGCUGAGGAGCGAAAGCGUGGGGAGCGAACAGG